UACGUAGGGUGCAAGCGUUAAUCGGAAUUACUGGGCGUAAAGCGUGCGCAGGCGGUGAUGUAAGACAGUUGUGAAAUCCCCGGGCUCAACCUGGGAACUGCAUCUGUGACUGCAUCGCUGGAGUGCGGCAGAGGGGGAUGGAAUUCCGCGUGUAGCAGUGAAAUGCGUAGAGAUCCGGAGGAACACCAGUGGCGAAGGCGGCCUUCUGGGUCGACCCUGACGCUGAGAGGCGAAAGCGUGGGGAGCGAACGGG
rnacentral:rRNA from 1 species